GCGGGUGUGUUGUAGUGGUAACAAGGAACUUUCCCAAAGUUCAGUCACGGGUCCGAUUCCCGUCACCCGCU
rnacentral:tRNA from 2 species